AACUCGCGUUAAGGAUUGAGGUGGAAAUCCUUUUUAUAGCAAUCGUGUUUUUGCGUUGCUAUAAAAAGAUUGCAGCCGAAAGCCUGACCACGC
rnacentral:sRNA from 1 species